rnacentral:rRNA from 1 species
UACGUAGGGCGCAAGCGUUAUCCGGAAUUAUUGGGCGUAAAGGGCUCGUAGGCGGUUCGUCACGUCGGGAGUGAAAACUCGGGGCUUAACCCCGAGCCUGCUUCCGAUACGGGCAGACUAGAGGUAGGCAGGGGAGAGCGGAACUCCUGGUGUAGCGGUGGAAUGCGCAGAUAUCAGGAAGAACACCGGUGGCGAAGGCGGCUCUCUGGGCCUUACCUGACGCUGAGGAGCGAAAGCGUGGGUAGCGAACAGG